CUGAGGUAGACUGGACUAACAACGGAUUAAUCGCUGCUUUUAAAAAAGGAUUAUCCGAAGUUAUGCUUGACGAAAUUGCUGCCAAAGACCUACCUAAGGGGUUAAAUGAAUUUAUUACCUAUGUGAUGCAGAUCGAUAAUAGACACAGGACCAGGGAAAUUACUAGAAACAGAACUAGACGUUUGACUAUGUCACUAGCACCUCGAUUUUCCAAACCUAUUGUCCCUGACCUCUCAUCGCUGUCUGAACCUGAACCUAUGCAGUUAGG